rnacentral:misc_RNA from 1 species
GAAAUGCGAAAAGUAGUGUGAAUUGCAGAAUUCAGUGAAUCAUCGAAUCUUUGAACGCACAUUGCGCCUCCCGGUAUUCCGGGAGGCAUGCCUGUCCGAGCGUAGAACAAGCAAACUCGAGCAUUUUUUUGCUCGGUCUUGGGGGAGGGGCGUCCACCGCGACGUCCCCCCCCGAAAUUCAAUGGCGGGGUGCCUCCGUGGGAAGGGCGUGAUAAGUCUUAUGAAGCAAGUCGCUCUGCCCCUGAAGCAUCCUGGCCCUCAAUCCCCAGUCUUCUUCAAGUCAACCUCGGAUCAGGUAGGGAUACCCGCUGAACUUAA